rnacentral:pre_miRNA from 1 species
GGUGUGAGUUGCAGCCAGGGAUGACUUGCCGAGUUUGCCAAACUCCGCCUUCAUUUGCUUGCUGAGCUGUGUAGACGUUUCGGCAAGUUGUCUCUGGCUACAUUUGGCUCUCU